AGUGUGGGCACAGCUGAGAUGGUGUGACGUGAUCGUGUGACUUCAGCCACCCAGUCAAGAUGGCCUCUCUGAAUAGAGUGGAACAGGGGUGGUGUAGCGGUGCCUGGUCUGUAUGGAGGAGUGGGCCAAAAUCCCUGCUGCAGUGUGUGCAAACCUGGUCAAGAACUACAGGAAACAUGUGAUCUCUGUAAUUGCAAACAAAGAUUCCGUCUCUUACAGUUGAAGUGUACCUAUGAUAAAAAUUACAGACCUCUACAUGCUUUGGCUCCCUGGUGUCUCUUUAACUGUCAGUUCAGCGGAGGAGGCAGUGUGAACUUCAGUUUGUCACCCCUAACUUUCCUGUCACAGGCGGUCAAAAGAGUAAGUCUUAUAGGCCACAGAGGAUGUAAAGAAGAGAAGAGGGAGUGGCCCACUCGUCCCUGGUCUAAAGUAGUGCACUAUAUAGUGAAUAGGGUGCGAUUUGGAUGCAAACCUAGAGCUAGUCUGCUUCACUGUGUACGCCUAUAGACUUCUCUAUUCUUAGAAGGUGAUGAUGAGUGGAAAAAUGUAUCACUACCCAUGUGAUUUUAAGUGUUAUAGAAGAUCAUCUGUAAUAUCAAUAUGUCGCAAACCAGAUCUAAGGCCAUUAUAAUUGGUCUUCUCCCUCUGCAUCAGACUGGCUGCUAUGUGUAGUAACUCAGCCUGCUUAGAUAUAACAUUACAUUUCAGACUAAUAGGUGUCAUCAAACACAGUUGCUAGUCUCUCUUUCGACCCUCCUCUUGUAAGAUUGUUUAGGGACAGAAAGACAGUUUGCGCCUCCAUUACUAUAUAGUAGGUUGAGUUGAAUAUCUGCCCAGCAACAGUGAUUAUUAGAUGACAUGUGAUUGUGUCCUGAGUCUCUACGCGUUUAAAUAGACAGUCCAAUUCUGAUAUUUUAACCAAUCGGACGAGCUCUGAAAAAGACAAGAUGUCAAAAGAUCUGAUAUGAUUGGUUAGUGGGACCAAUCAGUGGGAAAAAGUUCAGAAUUGGGCUGAAUGUCUAAACGCAGCCUAUGGCUCAAAUUAUGUUUUAUUCAGCCUGUUUCCUGUAUUUGAUGUCUUAUUCAGCCUGUUUCCUGUAUUUGAUGUCUUAUUCAGCCUGUUUCCUGUAUUUGAUGUCUUAUUCAGCCUGUUUUCUGUAUUUGAUGUCUUAUUCAGCCUGUUUCCUGUAUUUGAUGUCUUAUUCAGCAUGUUUGAUUUGAUUUGCCUGAAUUUGAAAACCAAACGCAUAGAAAUAAAAUGACAUGAAUGUAGCUCUAAACUCCAUAUUAUAUUCUUCACACUCCAAUAUGGUGGCCGAGCAUCCCACUUGGAUCAUAGCAUUUAAAUUAGAAUAUCUAUUGUACUGCAUUUCUAGCUACAUGGACCUGGCCUGCAGACUGUUGUGAUGGCACAGAUAGCCAGCCCACCGUGCAGCCCACUGCUGUGUCUGGUAUCUCACACUAAGGUGAGAGAGGAGGGGAUAGAGGAGGGAUGGC
ensembl:lncRNA